rnacentral:rRNA from 1 species
UACGAAGGGGGCUAGCGUUGUUCGGAAUUACUGGGCGUAAAGCGCGCGCAGGCGGUUCUUCAAGUCAGUGGUGAAAGCCCGGAGCUCAACUCCGGAAUUGCCUUUAAGACUGCAUCGCUAGAAUUGUGGAGAGGUAAGUGGAAUUCCGAGUGUAGAGGUGAAAUUCGUAGAUAUUCGGAAGAACACCAGUGGCGAAGGCGACUUACUGGACACAUAUUGACGCUGAGGUGCGAAAGCGUGGGGAGCAAACAGG